UACGGAGGGUGCAAGCGUUGUUCGGAAUUACUGGGCGUAAAGCGCGUGUAGGCGGCCGAUUAAGUCUGGUGUGAAAGCCCGGGGCUCACCCCCGGAAGUGCGCUGGAAACUGGUCGGCUAGAGUAUGGGAGAGGAAAGUGGAAUUCCGGGUGUAGUGGUGGAAUACGUAGAUAUCCGGAGGAACACCAGCGGCGAAGGCGGCUUUCUGGUCCGAUUCUGACGCUGAGGCGCGAAAGCGUGGGGAGCGAUCCGG
rnacentral:rRNA from 1 species